AUGGUCUAUUUUCUCUUCAGAACAAACACAUCUUUUGCCUUUUACUAAAGGUUCCCGUGAAGAGGAGAAAAACUAAGUUGUCUCACUUAUGCGUGCCCAACUUAAUGGGGUU